GGUUUUUCUUUAGCAGGAUGCAUUGGAACACCAACACCAACUUCCAUUGUUCGUGAAGCUAAUGCAGGUGGAGAAUAACGUCCAUCAUUCAUGUCUGAUUCUGCUUCACGUUGUUCUCCAUGAAUUACUGCUAUUCCCAGACGUAAUCUUUCUGCAUAACUAGUAGCCUUCUUUGCACUACCAGGAUUUCUUGCAACUAUCACUGAAUUGUGAUAGUCUGGUAUCUGAUUAAAUAAAAUUCAAAAUUAAAAAAUCUAUAAUGAUUAUUUUUAAUGGUAUUUUUUACAUACAGAUUCUUGAAUAUAUUGUAAUAAAAAUGGACUAGCUCGCAAAUUAUCCACUGGUACAUCAAAAAAUCCUUGAAUUUCUUUUUGAUGUAAAUCCAUUGUAAUUAUAUGUGUUAAACCACUUUUACAAAGCAUUUUUGCUAAUAGUUUAGAAACUAUACAUCCUCGCUUACGCAUUUUGCAUUGUUUUGAAUAAGAAUCUCCAAUUUCAACCAUGGUUUCACGAUUUGAUUUAUGAUAUACAGAACAUCCUCCAUGUUUAACACCUAAUCGACUAUAAAAUAGUUAAUAUAAAUUAAUAAAUUAAUAAAUUGUUAUUAUAUAAAUUAUUAUGACAUAUAUUUAUGAAAACCUACUUGGCAAUGAGAUUAGCCAAUUCUGGAUGAGAAUUACCCGCAAUGAGUACAAUAUCUGAUGAUACAGG
rnacentral:lncRNA from 1 species